AUCCAGCUGAUGAGUUCCAAAUAGGAUGAAAUGCGCAUCUUGGAU
rnacentral:hammerhead_ribozyme from 1 species